GAAUUUAGCCUUCAAUUUAUGGACAUGCAGUGUUAGCCGGCUGCCCAUAAUUGUAAUUGUGCCUAAUUGCCUUAUGACCGACGUGGGUGCAUCACAAGCAGCCGCGUAUCUUGAUCUUCCUUUCCAUCACGUAAUACACACACAUGCACUCUCUCUCUUCUGCAAUUUUCCUUGACUCUCUCUCUGUUCUGCAAUCCUUCAUCACGACUCCAUCGCCGUCCACGUAAAGUCUUUGGCCAGAUCGGGACUUCAACGCUUUUUAGGGCGGAAGCAAUUUUUUCGUUCGCCUUCCCCUGACCGAUGCAGCAAUGGGGCUGGAUCUGAAUCAGGUUCUUCAACUCACACUAGGGUUCCUCUCGUGCUUUGAAAAUCGAAGGCCGAUAAAAGUGGAAAUAAAACAAUUGAUUUGGUCCCCCACAUUCCCAGGUGGGUUUUCUAUCUGAAAAUCAAGCCUUCCAUUUACUACCAGGUAAUACGAGCUUUCGAUAGAGAAUAUAUAUGUGUAGCAAAGUUGGUUAUCAUUGCCAACAACUGCCCUCCUCUUUGGAAGUCUGAGAUAAUGUACUACGCCAUGUUGGCGAACGUUGGAGUUCACCACUACAAUGGGACAAGCAUCAAAUUAUGGAUGCAUGGAAUUUGACAAAAUAGGAAUCAUCCACUUUUCUAAAAAACCGUGGGAAAAGAGAGAUCAUCCACUUUUCAGAGAAUCCAAAAGGGGUUGCAGUGACACAUAUGGAAAUGUUCAAAAUAUAGAGCUUCAACGAAAUGUGCUAGCUGCCAAGUGAACAAGGAAUGGUCACAAUUAGGACCCUUUAUGAUCCUGCAGAUGCAACACCUUUGCUACAAAUGCAAUGGUACUAGCGAGAGCAUUAACGAGAAAGGCCAAUGCCCUCAAUGCAAGAGAAGAAGCUGCUGGAAAUUAUCGUGGAGAAGAACAUGCAGAAUGGACGGAAAAUCACAUUAGCUAGAGAAGCUGAUGAGACGGUAUGCUAUCACUCUUUCACUGUCCCACAAGAUUACAAGUGGAGAUGGCAUGUUUAUGUUCCUUUGUUUACGGUCGAUGGUUCUCUUGAUAGAUUUUUGGUUAGGAAGAGUUUCCUUUUGUUUUUGGUUAGUGAGAUUGUCAGUUCUAUUUUCUCGGCCCCAGCUGAGGUUUUGAAGUUCUUUAGUGCUUUACACCCUUUCAUUAAGGAUUUUUUUUCCCCCUCAAGGUCUCAGUGUAUUAUUACAACUUCAAGUCUAUAUACUUUUGCUUUGUCUAAGUCCCACGAACUCUACUUUAAUGCUAGGCAUUUUGCAAUCAUAUGUAAACCUGUAAGCAAAA